rnacentral:rRNA from 1 species
GAACGCUAGCGGCAGGCCUAAUACAUGCAAGUCGAGGGGCAUCACGGAUAGCAAUAUCUGGUGGCGACCGGCGCACGGGUGCGUAACGCGUAUGCAACCUACCUUUUACAGGGGGAUAGCUCCGAGAAAUCGGGAUUAAUACCCCAUAACAUUACGGAUUGGCAUCAAUUUGUGAUUAAAGCUCCGGCGGUAGAAGAUGGGCAUGCGUGCCAUUAGCUAGUUGGUGAGGUAACGGCUCACCAAGGCAACGAUGGCUAGGGGUUCUGAGAGGAUUAUCCCCCACACUGGUACUGAGACACGGACCAGACUCCUACGGGAGGCAGCAGUAAGGAAUAUUGGUCAAUGGACGCAAGUCUGAACCAGCCAUGCCGCGUGCAGGAAGACGGCCUUAUGGGUUGUAAGCUGCUUUUGUCAGGGAAUAAACCCCCGUACGAGUACGGGGCUGAAGGUACCUGAAAAAUAAGCAUCGGCUAACUCCGUGCCAGCAGCCGCGGUAAUACGGAGGAUGCGAGCGUUAUCCGGAUUCAUUGGGUUUAAAGGGUGCGCAGGCGGACUUAUAAGUCAGUGGUGAAAUCCUACGGCUCAACCGUGGCACUGCCAUUGAUACUGUAAGUCUUGAGUAUAGUUGAAGUGGGCGGAAUGUAGCAUGUAGCGGUGAAAUGCAUAGAUAUGCUACAGAACACCGAUAGCGAAGGCAGCUCACUAAGUUAUAACUGACGCUCAUGCACGAAAGCGUGGGGAUC